CAGCAGCCGCGGGAAAACGGAGGGGGCUUGCGUUGUUCGGAAUUACUGGGCGUAAAGCGCACGUAGGCGGCUUGGUAAGUUAGAGGUGAAAGCCCGGAGCUCAACUCCGGAAUUGCCUUUAAGACUGCCGAGCUAGUAGGUGAGAGAGGUAAGUGGAAUUCCGAGUGUAGAGGUGAAAUUCGUAGAUAUUCGGAAGAACACCAGUGGCGAAGGCGGCUUACUGGCUCAUUCUAGACGCUGAGGUGCGAAAGCGUGGGGAGCAAACAGGAUUAGAUACCCCAGUAGUCCCUGUCUCUUAUAU
rnacentral:rRNA from 1 species